UACGGAGGGUGCAAGCGUUAUCCGGAUUCACUGGGUUUAAAGGGCGCGUAGGCGGGAUGGCAAGUCGGUCGUGAAAUCCUUCGGCUCAACCGAAGAACGUCGGCCGAUACUGCCGUUCUUGAGGGAUGCAGAGGAGAUUGGAAUUCCCGGUGUAGCGGUGAAAUGUGUAGAGAUCGGGAGGAACACCGGUGGCGAAGGCGGGUCUCUGGGCAUCUCCUGACGCUGAGGCGCGAAAGCGUGGGGAGCAAACGGG
rnacentral:rRNA from 1 species